GCCUAGUCCAAAGGUAGUAAGUUAUCUCAACUGACUGUUCAGUCAGUUACAGAUUCUACAGUUCUACAGGAGUAGACCUCCUUGUUCUACUCUUUCUCUACUUCUCACUACUAUACUUGACUAGUCUAAA
rnacentral:Y_RNA from 1 species